CAGUAGGGAAUCUUCCACAAUGGACGCAAGUCUGAUGGAGCAACGCCGCGUGAGUGAAGAAGGGUUUCGGCUCGUAAAGCUCUGUUGUUAAAGAAGAACGUGGGUAAGAGUAACUGUUUACCCAGUGACGGUAUUUAACCAGAAAGCCACGGCUAACUACGUGCUAG
rnacentral:rRNA from 1 species